rnacentral:lncRNA from 1 species
AGUGUGAAAGAUGCGAGCCAUAGCAUCUCGUAACAUGAAGGCCAUCCAGCUCCAUCCUCCCACUGCUGCUUGAACAAUAUGCUUAACACGUAGUGCCGCAGUCGCUGCUUGGAUUGAAUGUGUUCAUGCACAGAUUUUAUCAUCUUGUUACUCAAACGACUGAUGGCUUCUGACCCUGCCUGAAAAUUUCCUAAGAGGUAACAGUUCUAGGACACAGAGCUCUAUGGGCUAUGUUGAGGAAGCUGCUUACAGACGAAAUUGACAGCAUGAAGAAAGGUGUGGUCCUUACAAGUAUAGGGCCUAUAUUAAUGAAGUAGCCAGGCAUAGCUUCAGCCAGGAGACUGAAGCACCAGAUGCUGGAGGGAGUGGAGGAAGAAGUUUAAUUACCACAUACAGCUCUUCCAUAUGCAAGGUCUCUGGGGCAAAACUGUCAUUCUGUCUGAAGCCAGACCCUCAAUGUCAGACUAAGAGAGUCGGAUGGAGACUACAUCUUCUGUGUGUGUUGCAAUGGGAGGACUUCUCUCCACCGAGUUUAGUGAGGGGGUUCUUGAAGAGGACUGCCAGAAGCACUGGGGAAAGGCCACAAGGAAAAGGAAACCUCCAGCCGAGCCCUUUGGGUUGAGUGGAAGCUGGGUGAGGCCUGUGA